rnacentral:rRNA from 1 species
GUCUUUAAGAAAUUAAUUUAAAGUCUAAUCUGCCCAAUGAAAUUAAUUUAAAUGGCUGCAGAAUAUUAACUGUACAAAGGUAGCAUAAUAAUUUGUUUUUUAAUUAAAAACUAGAAUGAAAGAUUUGAUGAAAUAUAGACUGUUUCAAUUAAAUUAUUAUAUUAAAUUUUUUAUUUAAGUAAAAAAACUUAAAUAAUAUUUAAAGACGAUAAGACCCUAUAGAAUUUUAUUUAUUUUAUUUUAAUUUAAAAUAAAAUAAAUUUUAUUGGGGUAAUAAAAAAAUUUAAAAAAUUUUUUUUAAAAAUAACAUUUAUACUUGUAUAUUUAAUCUAAUUUUAUUAAUUAUAAAAAUUAAUUACCUUAGGGAUAACAGCAUAAUUUUUUUUAAAAGAUCUUAUUAAUAAAAAAGAUUAU